rnacentral:lncRNA from 1 species
GUGAAGGCGCUUCUUCCGCUCGGAGGAAAGCCUCUGGCGGUUCUCGCUUCGCGGGCUCGGGAUGGACACGCGCGUAGGGCUGGGGAGGUGACGCGCGGACAACGCCGGGGCGAGCAAACUACAACUCCCAGGCAGCUGUGCGCCACGCGGGCGGCCUACUGUCGGGUGUGGCCGCGAGGGGCGGCCUAUAUAAGCUCUUGCUCGCGGCUUCAGCGCCCUUUCUCCCCGCCGCAUUCCCGGUGUCGACUUACUAGCUGCAAGCCUCUGCCUGCCUUCCUGCGCGCCGUUCCCCGCUAGUCGCUGCUGCUGGCGCGCACUCGCCGGGUUUUUCCUCCCACGGCCUCGAGAUGGUGGUGAAUGUGGCACGGAGGAGCCGGGCCUUCCAACCCGGUGGGCCCGAGCUCCGAAAGGCCCCCUCGGCAGUGAGAGGGGCGGGAGCCCGCGGGGGCCGCGCCCUUCUCUCGCUUCGGACUGCGCAACGCUGCGCUCUGGGCUGACAGGCGGAUAAAACGGUCCCAUCAAGACUGAGAAAAAGCACACCAGCUAUUGGCACAGCGUGGGCAGUGGGGCCUACAGGAUGACUGACUUAGUCUACAGAGAUCCCGGCGUACUUAAGCAGGUAGUAAUGAUGGACAGAUGAAGACUCUUAAGAUGACAGAAGGUGAUUUUUCUGGUGAUCGAGGACUUCCGGGGUAAUGACAGUGAUGAAAUGCAGGGGACCUGCAGGCAUGAGCCACCGCUCCUGGCCAGUUUAGUUUUCACGCUAAGCUUUUUGUUCUGCAGGUUGCCCCCAAGUUUCCUGGCAGUGUGUGAUACUGAGGAGGUGAGCUUGUUUCUGGAGCUGUGCUUUAAGGUAAAGUUGAUCAGCUUAAUCCUCCUGAUCCCUUUCCCAUCGGAUCUGAACACUGGUCUUGGUGGUCGUAAAAGGAGGAAAAGUAAUAGUGAAGCUGGCCUAAAUGUUGUAAUCUGGUAUAUGGCAUGUGGGCUAGUUUCAGACAGGUUUCAGAGAUGGUUGGAUCUCUGAAAUUGUAAAAUGAAGUAUAAUCUUAGGCUAAGGGAAGGAUGCGUGUGAAGCUCUGGAGGUUGGUAUAGUAAUAGCUGACCUAUUACUGCAUUUGGGAGGGAUCUGUCAUAGCUUCCUUGCCUCUUAAUUAAGGGUGGUGUUUUUUUCUUUUAGAUUCAUGUUACAUGUAAAGCUGUCCUCAUUUGUGACUAUGGACCUAUGGAGUUGGGACAAUCUCUAUGGGAAGCAGAAGGCAAGGACCCCGGUCAUUUUAGGUAGAAACAACAGCAUGCUAAUGCAAAAAAUUAUGCAGUGUGCUACUGAACUUCAGAGGUGAUCAAUAAAAGAAGAAUAAAAAGACUAAUAAAAGUAUAUUUGUGUUUGUAUUUUUUUGUAGAGACCGAACUGGUCUCUU